GUGAGUCUCAGGGGCUGUGCACUCCGACCUUGUCCUUUGCUCUUUGAGGGGGGGCUAGUCAUCGAAUCUAUCAGGGCCUGCCUGAGCCCCAAGCCCUCGCAUCUCAUCAUGCACGGCUGCAACCUUACAGCGCUCCUCACGCAGCCCCCGGUUCAGUGCUCAUGCCUGGGGCCUCCAAGGCGCCUCUCCAGGGAGUCCUUGUACCAGUCCCCUUGGAGCAGCACUGCUGUGACGCUGCAUGGUGGAGGAGUAAAGGUGCCAGUCAUUAAGACUGAAACCACUACAGCAAGUGCAGGCUGGGGGCCUGAGAGGCCUGGCCGUGUGUCAGAGAUUCACAGACACCAGCCAAGGAACAAAGGUCCGGCCUUGGACGGAGCUGGGUUCUUGCUCUUCCCUGGGAAAGUCAUUUGAGACCUCACAGGAAAAAUGAGGGUGGGCUUCCUGGGCCUCCUCACCUUCCUCUUACGCCUGGCCUCACCCAGCAUGCUUACCUGGGGAGGGGGCCUCAUUAGGAAGGUGCCUGCUAAGGUCAGGAUGGAUCUUUCUGGAACUCAGUUGGACCAUCUUCCUUUUACGUGCAGGGUCCACCUGUGUUAUUUCCCCAAGCAGCCCAACGGGUGCAGGUGAAAGGCUGGGGAGCCUCCUCAUCCUCUGAAGCUCCAGAGAGGAGCUACCCAGAGGCAUAAGGCCAGCAACCAUUGACAGGAAGACCAGUCCCCUGCUGGACUCCCAGGGGACCAGGAGCAAGCGUCCAGACACUGGCCCUACCAUGCCCUGCCAGGACCUUGCAGAAGAGAUUGCCCUCUUAGGCAAAGACUUUGUUUUUUCAACCCCUGUUCUGUGAAAGUGUAUCAGGAAUCAUUGGGGUGCAACGUAUGGGGAGGAAAGGCUGACUAGCUGGAGCAUUGAUCUGUUUUCUAUGUUAGGGUUCUAUUUUGGAUAUUAGAAAAAGAAUAAUUUGGCUAGUAAAUAUUUAAGAACUGUUUAGGGGAACCACUAUUCACUUUCCUCUAUCAAUGUUCUUUACCAUGUUGCCUCUUUUUAUUCUCACAAAUACUUCGCGAGGUACAGCACGAUUAUCCCCACUUUUCAGCUAAGUCUCUGUUCUCACAGAGUCUGAGAACCUUGCCUGAGGUCCACAGAAGUCCAUGGCGGCUGGAUUAGAAACUGGCCCUGCUGACUCCAGAGACCUGAUAAGUUCUUAUUGGCUCCCAUCUUCCAACCCUGGUGCACUGGGGAUCAAGUUUCCAACACAGGAACUUGGGGGGGACACACUCAAAUUGUUUACCAUACUCCAUUGUUUAACUUUUCACCUGCAGAGCGACUGUCUUCUCAAGUAGACCAUCUGUUUCUCCUUGGCAGCUGCUCUGUGAAUUGGUGAGGUCCCUGGGAGAGCCUCCUUCUGACCAGCUUUGGGCUGCCCACGCAGAUGCCCCUAGAUAAUGAGGCAGUCUCCCUCUGGUCACCAGAUUGCACACCAGAUUAACAGAUGAUGCUACUGCUUCCCACAACUUGUGAUAAACAACUGACUUUUUGACCCACGCAUACCCAAAAAGAAUGUCAUAUUUUUUUGGUAUCAUCUAAUUUCAUGACAUCAUAAUAUAGCCUCUCCUAACCUAUCAUGAUAUAUCUCUUUGGGUAGGGCCCAUGAGUGGUUCAGUUUCUCCUUUUGAAAUUAGAAAAUCAAUUUUAACCAGAUCAAAGAGGCUUUUUCUUCUUUACUUUCCUAUUGCAUGUUGGCACCAAAAACAGCUCAGUGUAGACAUGGUAGAUAUUUGCUGAGUGGAUGGAUGAAUGUGGGU
rnacentral:lncRNA from 1 species